ensembl:lncRNA
AAAGAACUCAGGACGCGUGCGCGUCAGGUGUGACGCAUGCGCAGCGCACCCCAGACCCCGGCCGGCCGCUGUCCAACCAUCCCCCUUAGUACGAAUAGGUUGGAGCACUGAGACUUCCGGUUCCGCAAGGCUCACCUUUCAGGUGAGGUUUAUCUCGGCUCAAGAUCACUGAGAGGGAGACCGUCUCAAAGAGUAAUUGUAUCCUGCGUAGCACAAAAGUCACCGUGUUCUGGGAGGAGGGAGGCGCCGCUCCUUCCUCCAGGUCCCCAGUCUGUCUUAUAGAAUCCUCAGCCAUGAGCCUGAUGAUGGAUGUGAAAUCUCUUUUGAUAGUCACAUACAAAAACAUCCAGCCUCAUCUCAAGAUAUCCUAAUUCUCAUUAUGUUAUCACACUCUGAUUUCAGAAUCUCAUGUUCUACAUCAGGUAAAAAUAUGGCCGAUCCUCUUGAUCUGGAAAUCUAUAAAGUAAAAGAAUUAUCUAUCUCUCACAUACUUGAUAUUCAGUAGUGAAAUGUGGACAGGAAAAUCACAUUAAAAAAGAAAAUAGUGGGGCAUGGUGGCACACACCUGUAAUCCCAGCACUUGGGAGGCCAAGGCAGGAGAAUCACUGUUAGUUUGAGACCAGCCUGAACUACACCCAUCUUAAGGUCUUAAGGCGAAAGGGGAUCACAAAAGAAUUCUGAUAUUCAGACACAUGUUACUAGAUGUCCCUACUCCUGCAAAUGGCAGUAUACCUUAAUUGGGGUCCAGCUUGGCUCUCUGGGGGAAGCUCCCUAAACCAUCAUAGUCUGUGACUUUUAGUUCUGCAUUCUGGGAAGUGUGGUUUGAGACACUGUUCAUUCUCCACCCUCUUUCUGUCAUCCUCUGAUACACUGGAAGAAGGAGUGCAUGUUGGUAGCAUCUACAGUGGUGCCUCUGUUCAUGAACUAAAUUCUCAGGAUUCUGAUUGCAAAUGAAUUGGUCAUGAGCUGAGUCAGAUACAAUGCUUAGGUUCAAUGUUGACCUUAUGGGAAAUUUGACUUGGUUCACAACCAAUUUGUUUUGCAACCAGAAUAGUUGUAAGAAUUAAGUUCAUGAACCAAUGUACCACUGUGCCUUUCUUAACUUGCUUUCUGGCACUACAAAGUUAGGGAUCCAAAGGUCAUUUUGCACAUUUGAAUACUAUUAGUCCUUUGUAAGCAUUUCAACAGCUUUUACCUAUAAAAUUUACUUUAAAACAAUGUUCCUAUGUAUUUGAUUAUAGUCUGUGCCAUCCUCCAAAAGAUAUAAUUAUCUUUAAGACCUGCCCCUCUAUGCAUAUAGACUUACUUUUACUUGGGGAGACUAUGACCUUACAAUUUCUAAAACCCCUUUGUUCUAGGUAGUUUGGUCUAAUAGAUAUUAUCUUAAUUGUUUCACAGACCUUUAUAAAGGAUCUUACAUUUACACCCUUGAUCUUAUCUAUACCACCAAGCUGUGUUUACUUGGAGAGUCUGUAGAUUAGAAAGUUUUAUUUUCCAGCCUAGAAAGUAUUGAAUCUUCUACAUGCCCUGUAGAUUCUGUUGGAAAACUAGCCAUUUUCCACUUUAUCUCACAUUUUUCUGUAUUUUGUCAUACACAGCUGGGAACUAUCAGUCAAUACUUUCAGUAUCCCUACUGUAGAACUCCUUAGUGGAAUACAAACAUUUAUUAAAUCUCCUGUAAAGAUGGAGUACAUAUAAUUUCCCUUUUUUUUUUUAAAACCACUAAGUCAAACUAAACCAUAACAAUUAUUUGUAAUACAAACAUAAGACUAAAAUGUGGCAAGAAGAAAGACCAGCUAGGGACUUCAAUAUGCACGGGACUAUAUGAAUACCUUAGCCUAGGUUAUCUUUUUGUCUCAUAACAGGAUUGCAGCCAAAGAAACUAGUAACUCAGAAGUGCCAAUAGGCACAGAAAAUAAAAGCCUCAAUAAAACAUGCUAUCUUUAGACAAAGGAUCUGGAAAGGGAGAAUAUUCAUAAAUCAGAAGAUUUAGAAAAUAACUGUUCUAUGUUAGCCAGAUAUCACAGAAAAAACAACCAAAAAAAAAAAAAAAAAAGUGGUCCCACCCAUACCAGCAAGUGCAAAGUGAGAAAUCUCAACUUCCACUUUCAUGAGGCUCUCCAUCACCAGUAACAACCCUUCCUCACUGUAGUGGUGAGUGGCUACUAUAUGGGGAGGCACUCUUGUAUUCCGCUGAGAACUGGUGAAGAUUCAAGACUCACCAUUCUCCGGCAGUCAAGAAGCCACUCCCACUGCAGUGUCAUUAGAGAGCAGUUAAGAAGCCAGCACUACCUCCACCCAGAGGUAACAAGAAGCACUUCACUCCCAUCCAAAGCCAAAAGAGACCAAAUGGAGAACUUGAACUUUCUGUCUCACUCUGUUAGUAACAAGGUGGCAAAUCCCUGCUGGAAUGGUGUGAGAGAAAGUGUUGAAGAUCUAGACUCUCAUAAUAUGAAAAAAUGCCAGGUUUUAUUUGAAAACCACUCAAACCAAGAACCAGGUAAAUCUCAUAAAUGAAAAAGGCAAUAGAUACUCAAGUUAUCUGACAAAGAUUUUAAAGCAGCAGUGAUAAAAGUGCUUCAUCAAGCAAUAAUAAGCAUAUGUUUAAACAAAUUUUAAAAGCCUAAACAAGAGACAAGGUGUAACAUCUUAAAUUUCAAAACAAAACAAGAAAAAUCAUGGUUAGCUCAAAAGUAGGAAACAUAAAAUAAGCACUGAAACUUAAUAUAGAGCAGUUAUUAAAUCUGAACAAUAGAGAAAAAAUACACUGAAAAAAAUCAACAAGAGCCUUACAGGUUCUAACAAAAGAUAUUUGUCUCAUUUCGAUUUGGUGAAAGGGAUUAAAAAUGGCAGAGUUGGGGCCGGGGAUUUAGUGCAGUGGUUUCGCCGCCUGCUGCGCAAGUGCAAGGACCCGAGUUUGAUCACUGGUACCAAAAAAAAAAAAAGGCAGAGUAAUGACCAAUAGCAAAAAACAGCCUCUCUGGGACCUGGAAUUAAGAUGCUUGGAACUGGAAUUAAGACGCUUGGAAAAGAACAAGUUGGUGAAGAAAAAAGUAGAUCUCAAAAUUGAGAGGAAGCUGACAGGAAAACUAGAAACUACAGAGAAGUUGGAGGAAUGAACCACAAUGCAGAGGCAAGAACAAAGCCUCUGGAAAACUAAUUCCAGCUCUCCGGGAAGAGGUCCUGUCUGAUUCCACAAGGUAAGCCUAGAGAGGAUCAACACCCCUGGGGAAAAACAACAGACCAGGCUGGCAACAUUGCCAUGAAAAAAAUCCAUGGUUAUUGUAAGCAGAUGGAGUUUUAAUAAGAAACUGACUCCUGCCAUAUGGCAGACUAGAGUUGGAGAAUCCCAGUGCAAUGGCCACCGUAUUGAGAGGGUUUAAUUACAGUAGGAACCAUUUUGGGAAGGGGUUAAUUGUUUUAAGACUGAGCUACACAACAACUAUACUUUUCCAUUUCUGGGGUCUCCUUACCACAGUGACUGGGUAGGAGACAGCCACAAGAGAUAGUUGUCAUUGGCUGAGAGGUCAUGGGCUAGACAUAGACCCCCUGAGAAUUUUAAACUCAGGCCACUGAGUGGUCCUACUCUCCAAGUUGAGACACCAGGCCAGUUGUGAGUGGCUUUUGAAGCGUCCUGAGCCUGAAAGUGCUCUCAUUAACCCCAGCAGAUUGCUUGUGAACCCCACCCCACUCUGUUGCCUACAUCCAAUAUGAAGCUUGGUGAUCUGUUUGCUUUCCCCAUCUACCAACAUAAUUGGGUAUACCUCAGCUUGGAUGGUUGCCACAAAUUGGAAUAUACAGACAGAGGGGUCUCUGGGUUAGGGUAAGGGUCAGAACAAUCAAGCAAGAAAAAUAAAUAAAAGGGAUAUGCAUAGGAAAGGAGGAAGUUAAAUUCUCCUUAUUACAGAUGACAUGAUCUCUUUAAUAGACUCCAAAAUUUCAACCAAAGAAUCCUAGAACUAAUAAACCAAAUCAGCAAGGUAGCAGAAAAUAAGAUCAACAUACAAAAAUCAAUAGCAUUCCAGUACACCAAUAAUUAAGGUACUGAGUAUCAGAGACCCCUGCAGUGGGUCCCAAUCUCCUGCUCAGUGCUACGGUGCAAGUUGAGAAGAAAGACAUAGAGACAGAAUUAAAGAGACAGAUUUGGGGAGCCAGGAUGGCCAAUGCUGAGCAAGCAGCAAAAGACCCUGCCCAGACAAAGCUGCUGAUAUUUAUUGGUGACACAUAGUUAAGUUGAGGUAAAGGGGCUACAAAAUUCAAAAUGGUCAUUCUUCCAAAUUUGAUAUAUAGAUUUAAUGCAAUCUCAAUAAAAAAUACCAACAGGAGGGCUGGGGAUUUAGCUCAGUGGUUCCAGCGCCUGCCUCAAAAGCCCAAGAUCCUGAGUUUGAUCCCCGAUACAAAAAAAAAAAAAAAAUACCAACAGCAUUCCUCACAGUAAUAGAGAAAACAAUCUUAAAAUUUAUAUGGAACCAAAAGAGACCCAGAAUAGCAAUAGCAAUCCUGGGCAAAAAGAGCAAAGCAGGAAGCAUCACAGUUCCACUUUUCGAGUUAUAUUACAAAGCUACAGAGUUAAAAACUUCAUGGUGCUGACAUGAAAAGCACAUGUGUAGACCAAUGGAACAGAAUAAAGGAUGCAGAAACAAAUACAUAUUCAUAUUCAGCCAUCUGACCUUUGACAAAGGGGCCAAAAACAUAUACUGGAGAAUAGAUACCCUUCACAAAUCAUCCUGGGAAAACUGGCUCUAUAUAUGCAGAAGAGUGAUUCUAGACCCAUAUCUCUCACCAAGUAGUAAAGUAAAAUCAAAAUGGAUCAAAGAUCUAAAUAUUAGAAUAGAAAAACUUAAUCUUCCAAAAGAUAAAAUGGGUAAAAGUCUUGAAAAUGUAGGCAUGGGCGAAGACUUCCUGAACACAACCCCAAAUGCACAAGAAAUUCCAUAAGAAUGAACAAGUGAGCUUAUAUCAAAUCAAAAAGCUUCUACAUACCAAAGGGAAUAGAGUGAAGAGACAACCUACAGAAUGGGAAAAGUUUUUUUCAGCUCCUCAUAGGACAAUCUAGAAUAUCUAAAAUGUACACAACUCAAAAAAACUCCAAAAAUAAAAGACCCAGUCAAAAAAUGCACAAUUGAAAUGAGUACUUCAUUUGUACUUCUCAGAAGAAGUACAAAUGGCCAAUAAAUACAUAAAUAGAUGUCAACGUCUUGGGCCAGUAGAGAAAUGCAAAUUAAGACAACACUGAGAUUCCAUCUUACUCCAGAAAAAAUAACUAUCAUCAAGAAAUAAAAUAAUAAAUGCUGGAGAGGCUGCAGUGAAAAAGGAGCCCUUUUACAUUAUUGAUGAGAAUGUAAACUAAUACAAUCACUAUGGAAACAGUAUGGCUUUUCCUCAAAAAACUAAAAAUAGAAAUUACAUUUGAACUAGCUAUUUCUUUUCUAGAUAUCUUCUCCAAAAAGUUAAAGACAUCAUAUUAUAAUGCUCUAUGCAUACAUGUGUUUAUAGUAACACAGUUCAUACUAGCUUAAUCUUGGAAGCAGCCUAUAUGUCCACUUACAGAUGAAUGGUUAAAUAAAAUGUGGUAUAUAUACACAAUGUAGUACUACUCUGUUAUAAAGAAGGAUAAAUUGGAACCAUUUGUAGGGAAAUGGAUGCACCUUGAGACCAUAAUGUUGACUGAAAUAAAUCAGAUACAAGCUUAAAUAUUGCAUGGUUUCUCUUACGUGUGAAACCCAAAGUACAAACAAAUUAAAGGACAAAAUAAAAAAUAGGUGAUAGGAAACAGGGAGAUCUUCUGCCAAAGGGAAUGGGACCAAGGAAUAGAGUGAGGGAGAAAGGAGUAAGGAAGGAAAGUAAAAAGAUUUUAGUUGUGUUAUGCACAUGUCCCAACUCCCUAUGAUGGAUGCAAUCGUGUUCUGCAAAUGUAUACUAAUAAAAAUAAAAAUUUAAAAAAGUAAAGUUUUGGAGAAGAGGAGAAGACAGGGCUGAAAAAGUACUUAAAAAAACAAUGGCUGGGUUGGGGAUUUAGCUCCGUGGUUCUGCCGCCUGCCUUGCAAGCACAAGGUCCGGAGUUCAAUCCCCGGUGCCAAAAGAAAAAAGAAAAAAGAAAAGAGUAUCUAAAAAACAAUGGCUGAAAACUUCUCAAAUUUAAUGAAAGAAAAUAUACAGAUUCAAGAAUAUGAGGAAACCCCAAACAGUAUAAAUUCAUGCUGGUAUACAUGAUAGUUAAAUUUGUAUAAAUAAAAGACAUUUGCUUGAGAGCAACUAGUAAAAACUGACAUCUUUUUCUAAAGGAGAAAAACAACUAAAUGAUAUAGCUGCUUUCUCAUCAGAAACCCUGAAAGCCAGGUGUACAGAGGGCCAGAUGCAUAGGUGGUAAAGGAAUUUACCAAGACAGGAGUGAGGAAAAAGGAGAUUCAUUAUACACUUUGAGAGAGGACAGCAGGUGAGUUCCCAGACGGGAUGUCAUACCCGCGGGAAAGUGCGGAGUCUUUAUAAGGAUCUCGAGGCCAGGGAGUCUAUAAAUCAAGAGCGAGGAACGUAGGAAAGAGUGCUUAGGAGGAUGGAAUUGGACCUGAUGGUCAUUGUCUUCUUUACACUUCUGAUAAAGUUUGGCAUCAGAGUCUUGCUUGUUAAGGAAGGAGUGCAAAUGGCUGUUGGCUGUGAAUUAAGGCAAGAGUUCAUCCUGAAGCAGAGUUUGUGACCCUGGUGUAAAGCAGAAUGGGGCUGAAACUCCUCUCUAUGGCUGACUAGCACUCUAUAGUAGUGUACUAAUAAAUACCUCACAUUCUGGAUUUGCCAGUGUACUUCUGUAAGUAAUUAAUUUGUGCUUCACUCUUCCAUCUUUCCUGUAAAAUGUAAAAGAGCUCCGUAUAUUCCACUGUAUUUAUAAAACAUACUAAAAUAAAGUUCUUUUUAAAAGUGUGAUGGUUAAUUUUAUGACAAAUUGAGUAGGGCACAGAGUGCUCAGAUACGUGAUUAAACAAUUUUUUUUGGUGUGUCUAAGAGUGUUUUGGGAUGAGAUUAACAUUUGCAUCUGUAGAUUGAGUAAAAUAGAUUGCCCUUCUUUUGUUUUUGGUACCAGGGAUCAAACUCGGGUCCUUGAGCUUGCGAGGCAGGCGGCAGAACCACUGAGCUAAAUCCCCGGUGGCCCUGCACUUCUUGAUGUAGGGGGCUCUCACCCAAUCUUUUGAAAGCCUAAAUAGAACAAAAGGCCGGAUAAGGGAGAACUUCCUCUCUCUGCCUUUCUUUCAACUGGAACUUUGAUACUCUCUUUUCAUACUUGAGGUUGUACUGGCUGUUACAUCAUUGGCUGUCCUGUUUUUUAGGCCUUCGGACCCAGACUGGAACUAUGUAUACUUUGUAUCCUGCAGUUUUGAGGACUGUAUAUCUUGGAACUAAUCAGUCUCUAUAAUUGUGUGAGCCAACCCCUUGAAAUGAAUGUCUGUGUCUCUGUCUCUCUUCAUACACAAAUACACACUUAUUGGUUCUGUUUCUCCAGAGAAUCUUAGUAUGAGAAGUUAUUUUUUUAUUAAUUUAUUAAGUAGUCUGCCAUUUUUGAUAUUAUGACACUUAAUCAUUUCUGCCUUCCUUAACCUUUUGUGUACAUGCAGUAUAGAUUUUCAAUUGCUGUAACACUGGGCUCUGUUAUCUAUCUGUUAUGUUUUAUACAAUAAAAGUCAGUGAAUUUUGCCAAAUCAAAUAGUUACAUUUGUUUAAAAAAUAAGAAUAACUAAUAUUAAAUAUUUAUCCCACAGAAAACCUGGAAACUGAAGGUUAAAUUUCAGUCUAUAGUUUCCAAUCUCACUAUCCAUUGGUUCUUCAUUUUUUAAUACCUGCUUUUUGAGUUAAUUCAGUAUAUAAUUUGGUGAUAGUAUAAAGUAAUUCUUCAAGCUCUCACAUUCUUUAGAACUUGGCACUUACCUAAACAGUUUCUUUUAUUUAUUUAUUUAUUUGUAAAUUUUUUUAUUUAAAAAAAAAUUUUUUUUUUCUAAAUAGUUUCUUUCACACCAUUAUAGAGGUAUCUUUUCUGGUUCCAUUGUAUAAAUUAAUAGCAUCCAUCUUCCUCUUCAACACCAACAGCUACCUUGCUGGGAGCCUCUACUGCCCAAGGAACUAUCCAAGGAGCUUCUGCCUGAUUAUUAGAGGCUUUGAUGCUACUAGAAGGUGAAAGAAGCCUCGCUCACACUGCUAAGACUGAGAGAGAUGUUUCCAAAUUACAACUUAAAUUUUGUUUUUCUUAGAAACAGUGUUAAAAGAUAGGUACUUAGGUACAUCAUGUUCAAUGACUGCUUUAUGGUUUAGUCUGGGAACAUAAGACUGUUUAAAGCACUUCUAUUACAAGUUCUACACACCUCCUCCAUUGUGCCAUGGUAAUGGGAUCUUACAGAUGUUAGGCAAGUGCUUGACUACUAAGCUAUACCCUGAGCCCAAAACCUCUUUGAAAAUCUUGAAAAUUAAGUUUAGGGUUUCUUAUAUAUAGUCUGAUGUAUCAAAGAAUGGGGCACAGUUCACCUCAUCAACAAGGAAUAUUUGAUUGCUGACAUUGUUUAGACUAAUGUCACAUGGAAUUUUUAAAAACCAGACCUAUUUUCAGUCUGCUUUAUUCUUGCUUUUUUUGUUUUUUUGUUUUGUUUUGUUGUUUUUGUAGUGCAGGCUAGCUUUGAACUCACCAUGUAGCCCAGACUGGCUUCAAACUCAUGAUGAUCUUCCUGCCUCAGCCUCCCAAGUGGUGGGAUUACAGGCAUGCACCACCACACCCAACUCUUGCUUUUAAAUUUUCUUGCAGAUAAUGCCCCUCUGGCUGCCUGUGCCCAGAGCUGAUGCUUCUCCUUGGCUUUCCAUCCCAUUACUUAGCACACUGGUGCUUCUAUAUGGAUCUGAAGUUAGGAAAUAGAAAUUCGAGUUACAUCAUGAAACAAGGAGGAACACAGAAGGAAACAAGCCAGGACAUAAAUCUUUGCUCUCCAUUUUACCAACACAGUUAUCUGGGACUAAUAACACUCUCUCUGAGCCUUGAUUUUCUCAUCACUAAGAUACUUCAAUUGUCUUUUUAUGAGGAUCAAAUAGUGUAACUUAAAGCACUUAGCACUUAGCAUAUACUCUUAGUCAAAAUUAAUUCUCUCCUGUAAGAAAGAAGUUUCCAGUUGCCUAGGAUUUUCUUUUUCCUUUUUUUUUGGUACCAGGGAUCGAACUCAGGUCCUUGUGCUUGCACAGCAGGCAAUGAAACCGCUGAGCUAAACCCCUGGCCCUAAAAGCACUUUGGUUUUUUUUUUUCGUUUUUUUUUUUGGUACCAGGGAUUGAACUCAGGUCCUUGCACUUGCGCAGCAGGCAGUGAAACCACUGAGCUAAAUCCCCGGCUGCCUAGGAUUUUUAACUGUAUUUGUGAUGUCUAGGGAGUUUCUGAUCUUGUCCAGCAUGCACUGCGCUCCCUGAGCUCUGAGGAUGUUUCCAGGUGCCAAGAGCAACGGUGCAGACGGGGGCCUGCAGGAGGCUCUGAUUUGGAAGUGAGCAGCUGAGGAAGUGAAGAUUCUGCCUGGAAACUGACUUGCUGAUAAGGUAUCUGACUCCUCCUGCAGGAGGAGCCUUGCUGGGGGGACACACAGCUGUUGCAGCUCAGGUUUGGUAGGACAGUUGGAAGUAGAGACAGUGACUUCUCACUGGGCAGGUUCUGCAGUAGUGUUAAGCUUUGCUCUUGGAGGCGUGGUUCCAUGCUUAUCCCCUGACCUCCCAGGGGCUCCCUGAGUUCUUCCAUUUUCUUUUAAUAAAUUUAAUUUUUGCUCACUGAUCCAGAGCCAGGUCCUGGUAUGUAUUGUUACCUACAACAGGCUAUACUAAAUAUUUAUGUCCAUUACUUAUUUUCUCUACAGUUUUUGCAAUUUUCUAGAGUACCCUAUUGUAUUUUCUUUAUUCCUGACCACAUUGUCUGUGUGUAAGGAAGGAUUUACUUGUUUUCCAACAACUGUGCCAUUUCUUUUCCAUUCUUAUUAUUUUAGAUGAGUGAAUAGUACAAGACUGAAGACAAGGGGUAAAAUAGAUAUCACUGAUUUUCUUAGUUGAUCUACUAAUAAAACUAUUUAAUAUUUAAUCAUCAAAAAUGUCAUCAGAAACAAAGGUACAUAAUUCAGGAAAACAAACCCUAAAAUGUUUGAUGAGCUAUUAUUGAGUAGACACUGAGAAAUGUAGCUUUUACAGAAAUUUUAUAUAUGUGUAUAUAUAUAUAAUAUUAGGACAUAUACACAUAUACAAAUAUAAUAUUAAGACACUUUUCCAAGUUUCUCUUUCUCUGUUACUAUGGGAAAUAGUUACAGAGACCUUAAAUUCUCACGUUUCCUAUCAAACCUUUUCAGAACUACGUUAAAACAAUAUUGAAUCCCUGGAUAUGGAAUGUGCACAGCAGUUCCAUGUGAGUUCAUCAAAUCAAGUCAAAGGCAGAAUCCAAACAAAUCAGGCAUUCCAUGGUGGGAAGCUGCACAGCUGCCCUGGCUCUCAGUGGCAGCAGCUGAGUGGCAGCACUCACUGAGUGGGGACAAAUGAAGCCAGGGGAGAUUGCUGUUGUAAAGUGAAGCACAUCACCACAUUUCCAUCUACCCCGUUAUACUUCAUGAAUCCCCCAGGAGCCAGAAAAGCACAGUGAAGUCUUUAAAAGCAAAUCCAGAUGUCAGCCAUCACCACCGCACUGCUUUAAUUAUCAAAAAACAAAGAAAUAACUCCUUAGGUACAUUCUAAGUAGGUGUUCUUUCAGCAAAAACAGAAUAGCUGAAUAAAUAGCUGUGGCAUUAUACGCGCUUCAAGACCGAGGAUGCAACUAUAACCUAAAUAACAGGCUACCCAGCGGGGCUCUGAGAAUUCACAGCCAUUAGAAUGUGCAAGGAUUAAUCUCUACAGUGUGAUGAGUGAUUAAUAUUAAUCACUCCAUUUUACAGAUGGGAAAACUGAGUGCCUUGUAUCACAAUCAUUUCUAAGCCAAGGUCUGUCAGUGCUCAGCAAGUUCCCUGUAUAAUGAAUUAAUUUUAAAGGAUCCUUUAAGAAUACCAUAUUAGAUGGAUUUAACUUUCUCUAAUAACUGCUAAGUUUGUACAGCAUAAUCAGGAACACAGAUAUAAAGCAGAUUCCCAGAGGUGGAACUGUAAUGUUUAUGAGAUCAAAGUGGUGGGAGUUGCCAGAAGAGGCAUUAAAGAAUGCCAGGUAAAGCUGGGCAUGGUAGCAUCUGCCUAUAAUCUCAGCUACCAAGGAGGCUGAGGCAGGAGGGGCAGCCUGACAACUUAGUGAGAACCUAUGUUGAAAAAGAAAAAGGCCGAAGACAUAGCUCAAUGGCAGAGCACUUUUGUAGCAUGUACAGGUCCUUGGGUUCAAUCCCAGGUACCAAAAAAAAAAAUAAGGUAGUCAAAGUGGAUCUUAAAAUGUGAGUUACCUGGUAAACAAACAGAAAGGACAACACGGCACAAGGGAGCCAGCACAAAUGCAGGCAGGGUGCAAAGCAUGGCACUGGUAGAAAAUGCCUGCAAAUUGAUGUGUCAACGAAACAAAGGGCUUGGUUGAUAGGUGCAGCAUGGCUAGGAAUGGCGCUGGUUUCAACAAAAGCCCAAGGAAAAGAAAAUGAGAUCCUUAGCUAAGGGUGCAGUCAUGGGGAGAGAAGGGAGGAUUAACUAGAGAAGUGUUCAGAAUUAAACAUCUCAGGACUUCUUUAUUUGUGUUUUGCAGCCCUGGGAAUCAAACCCAUGCUAGGCAAGUGUUGCACACUCUCGGGAUUUUGUGCCCCAAGCUACAGUAUCAGCAAACUAAUGUCUUUGUAACUAAAAUUAGAAUGGAAGUCCCACCCUCCUCCAAGACAUUGUCCUAUCACGUCUCACAUCUCUUUUUAUCUGCUUAUUUAGAAUGUUUCCAUAAAACGCACAUUCUCAUAGUGUUCUGAUUACUACCUCCAGGACCUCCAGGCUGUAGGCCUCAGGAAGUCCUGCGCAAUUAUCUGGGAACUGCACAUAAAAUCCGUUGCAUUUCUGUGUGAAUUAUGCUUUGGGUGCAGGUAAAUGACUCCCUGCUUUACCCUGCCCAAUUUCCAGAUCCUUUUACCAUCAUCUCCAAAAUGUCCUCUAGAAUGUCUAACUCCAGUCAGCAAGCUGCCCUCAGACCUUAACCUGUGUUCUGAGUGGUUUUUGUAUAAACUAACAGCCGUCCGAGCUCUGAUGAGCUUACUUCUCAUGCAGCCCUCCUAGGUGGGAGCUGCUUUUUCCUCACACUCAGUACCACCGUGCUAAGAGGUGCACUGCAUUCCACUCUUCCUGUGUGUUCUCUGUCUUCAAAACUCACUGCACAUUCUCCCUUAAUGAAGGGACAAUGGUUGAUAUUUAACGUCCUCCCUUCCCUUUCAUCCACAGAAGACUAGAUUUUGGUUCACAGUUUUUUUACUCUGUCAUCCUUAGAAUUUUGUCAUUCAUGUGGGUAAUCCACUGUGCAUCUUCUUCUAGUUCCUUGAUCUCCUCACCACUGAUAUCUUUUCCUCCAUUCCACCCUAGGCAUGGUCCCAUAGCUAUUUCCUAAGUUUGUCAGAACCCAGGUUUGCACUCCUUUGGAAACUGGGCUGAAAUAUCUUACUUUAUGAUUCUUAUCCUUUCUUUUCUCUUUCUGUAGAACUCCCACAGCCACAGUUUGUUGAUCUGUGACUCAGUACCAUGACCUCGCUCAUUUUCAUUAUCAGCCAACUCUCUCUUCUUUCUGCUUUCCUCUCUUGCAAUUAUUAUGAUGACUCCUUUGAUAAUACCUGGUUCUGCUUCUUUAUUCAUUCUGCCUGACAGUAAAGACACUUAGCUAAUUGGAAAUUUUGGGAAAAUAUAUUGGGCGUGCUUAGCUCAGCUUUUCCUUUUCUUCUCGGUAAGAACACAUUUCUUCCAGGUACCCACAACCUCCAAAAGCCCCUGGUUGGAGAUCAUGAGGCUUUGGGGAACAUUCCAGAUCUGAACUGCAGCCUCAUGCACUCAAAAGGGGUCUUUUGGUGGGGUGGUUGGAUCACGGUGGAAGUGGAUUCAUCCUCUGGUAAGUUUAGGCUGGGUGAGCUGUUAAAAAGCCCAGUCUGGUUGGAGGCGGUCAUGGGAGAGUGGCCUGGAAGGGACUGCCUUCCCUGGCUGCUCCUUUUAUCUCUGGUUCCUAAUUGCCAUGAUGUGAGCAGUUUUCCUCCGCUGGGGCCCUUCCACCUUGCCCUUCCUGUAUAGGAGCUGGCCAACUAUGGAUUGAAACCUCUACAAACCGUGAUCCUGAAUAAACCUCUCCUUCUUUAAAUUGGGGGUGUUGGGUAUUGUGUCUCAGCGAUGAAGACACUAAGAUACAUGAAGGAUAUUGUUUGCAUUAUUCUGCAUUUGUUCUUUUCAGUCAAUAGUAUAUGUUAGAAUUUUUUCCCUGUCAUUGCAUGUGAGGUCACUUGUUCCUUUUAUAGGUACUCUGUAUUCCAUUAUGUCACUAAACCCCCAAAAAGUAUUUUCAGCCAUUUGAAAAUACAAAUUACACUACAGUUGAAAUUAUUGUAUCAACACCCACAUGCACCUAAGUAUAAUUAUGUUUCACAUUGCAUACAUAAUUGUAAAACUCAGUUGAAACAAUCAGUACUAUUUGGAAAUAUUAUUUUAUUUAAUAUUAUUUAAAAUUACUAGUGCCAUUUCCCACUUGGAGGUGAUUAUUUCAUACCUUCCCUCCUGCUCAGCUGAUGAUGUCUCUGGCACUAUUUGGUUUGUUGGUCCAUAGCCUAUCUCAUGCCAAGCAUAAUUUUAUAAACUUUGACUCUGUUUUUUUUUUUUUUUUUUCUCAUCACUUACAAAAGCUUCACUUGGGACAAAAGCAAUAGAUUUGAUCUCAGUUCUCAUUUAGUAUUCUAUGCUAGGGUAGAAUGAAUUACUACCCAGAUUUUGCAUGUGGUCAAGGAGGUAUGAAAGGAAAGCACCUUUCUGUAAGCCACAUGUUAGAGCGGUUGGAAAGGCAGGCGGCAACAGAGAGCUCCUGCCCUGUCCUCCACAGUCCGGCUCCGCACCAGGACCAGCACUUCUCAGAGGAGCACCAGGGCCCAGCCACACCAGGAGUCCACCGCAAAUGCAGUUAGAGUCAGGAGAGAGCCUAGGAAUCUCCUUUUAAAAUAAUUCCGAAGGUUACCCUUAAACCAACAUAGUUUUAAAACAAAGGAAAGGAAGCCACUUGUCCAGCUGUUGUGAAGUAACUGAUCCUCUAUGUCCACAUGCUGUCUGCUAUUGUGCUCCAUUCUACUCUUACAUACACUUGCUUAAAUUCUAUAAAAAUCAUUGGGAAAGGAAAAAACAUGAGAAAAGGAAACAAAGGAAACAAAACAAAGUCUUUGUAAAUAGGGAGGGGUGGAGGCGGUGAAGGGAGGGCAGAGGAAUGGGGAAAAAUAAGAACCAGGAUACAUCAUUCACAGGUACAAAUUCCCAAUGAUGAGCAUCAUCAUACUGUAUACAUAAAACAUACCAAUAACUUAAUGAAUAAAAAAUCAUUGCGAGAGGCAUUAUUAUCCAUUUAUAGCAGAGAAAUUGAGGUCUGAGCCAGGACUGUUCCAAGGUCACACGGCUAGUGACAGAAGAUGUGGUUGGAAAGAGUUCGAGUCGGAUCUCUCAGCCUGGAUCCUAAGAACCCCGGCAGGGCACAUGGACUAAGUGUUAGUGUGAACCGUGAUUGGCUAUGAAUGUUACUGUAAGAUGGGGUUACAUUAAUCUCACAGUGCACUGCAAACUAGAAAAGAGAUAAACUGAUUCAUACAAGUGUAUCUGACAAAAUUUUAAAGGUACAUUUUACUAAAGCAUUUUAUUUAAAGAUGCUUAUGAAUUGUUAUUUAAUAUAUUCCUUACCGGUCUUUCUAUAAGUUAAUUUCUAUGUAGUUUUUUAGGGUUUUUUUGAGACAGGGACUCCCUAUGUAGUUCAGGCUGGCCAUGAACUCAGGGUGAUCUUCCUGAUUCAGAUCUCUGAGUGCUAGAAUCAUAGCCGUGUGCCACCAUGCCUGGCUGGUGGUUUAUAUAGUAUUGCAGUUAAUCAUAUACACUAACAUUUUGUGUCUCCUGGAUUAAAGAAAGAUAAUGGUAAUGUCACAACAAUGCUGUCAGAUGGAAUCACAUUUCCUGGAAGAGCUACCUGAGUAGUUCUUAUGAGAUGUUUGUCUUGUGCUGUUUGAUUGUGAAGUUUAUUAAAUAUUUUCAUACUUUGGAUAUGCUAUAUAUAUAUACAAUUUAUAGAUUUUUUUCUGUAAAUAUAUUAGAAAAUAUUCUAAAAAUGUAUUCC